AUACGUAGGGGGCGAGCGUUGUCCGGAAUGAUUGGGCGUAAAGGGCGCGUAGGCGGCGCGGUAAGUCUGGAGUGAAAGUCCUGCUUUCAAGGUGGGAAUUGCUUUGGAUACUGCCGCGCUUAGUGCAGGAGAGGUUAUCGGAAUUCCCGGUGUAGCGGUGAAAUUCGUAGAGAUCGGGAGGAACACCAGUGGCGAAGGCGGGUAACUGGACUGCAACUGACGCUGAGGCGCGAAAGUGUGGGGAGCAAACAGGAUUAGAUACCCUGGUAGUCCACACUGUAAACGAUGAAUGCUAGGUGUAAGCGGUAUCGACCCCUUUUGUGCCGGAGUCAACACAAUAAGCAUUCCGCCUGGGGAGUACGGCCGCAAGGUUGAAACUCAAAGGAAUUGACGGGU
rnacentral:rRNA from 1 species